CCUACAUGAAGCUGGAGUUGCUAGUAAUCGCGAAUCAGCAUGUCGCGGUGAAUACGUUCCCGGGCCUUGUACACACCGCCCGUCACACCAUGAGAGUUGGAGAUACCCGAAGCCUGUGAGCUAACAGAAAUGGAGCAGCAGUCGAAGGUAGAAUCAAUGAUUGGGGUGAAGUCGUAACAAGGUAGC
rnacentral:rRNA from 1 species